rnacentral:lncRNA from 1 species
UAUGAAGUGUUUUGAAAACAGAUACUUUUAUAUAUAUAUAUAUAUAUAUAUAUAUAGGGUCCAGCUACUAUACUAUUAUGAUUACGAUCGUCCUUAUACUCAUAAAUUAUUUUCGAUGAUAGAGCUUCCAAAUCGACGAUCCACACCGUUAAAUGUUAUUUACAGUAUUUAAAACUUCUGAAAAUUAAAUUUUGUAAUUUUUCGACAUCAUUUACCUUAUGAUCAAGAGGUCACAAAUUUGACAAUUUAUAACGGCCGGUAUGAAAUACUUGCUAGUUUAACGGUAUAAAAGAAUCGGAAUUUGUUGAAUUUUUAAUAGAAAAUUCUAUUCACUACAUAGAUAAAGAUCAAUAACUCUGAUCUUGAACUGAAGGAUCCGAUCAUCCUUUUUUAUGACGUCGUUCGAUUUUGACUGUUCAUUUUAUGCCCACUUGAUGGACUUUAUUAUGAUUUCGAAAAUUUACGAAAUUUAUUUUCUAGAAGUUUCAAAUACUCUAGAUCAUAUUUAAUGGAGUGGAUAGUCGAUUCAGAAGCUCCAUCAUUGAAAACAACUUGUGAGUACGAGAGCUCCAAUGCUCAUAAUAGUAUAGUAGCCACGGCCUAUAUAUAUAUAUAUAGAGUGAGGCUACUAUACUUCUGGAAGCAUGGAACCUUCCGUGCUUCCAGGUCGUUUUCGACAUUGCGACUUUCGAAUCGUCGAUCGGCUCCGUUAAACUUGAUCUAGAGUAUUUGAAGUACCCAGAAAAUAAAUUUUGCAAUUUUUCGAUAUCUUUUGCCUAGUGAACUAAGGGGCUCAAAAUCAACGGCUGAAAAUAAAAAUCUUACAAAACAUGAUAAUAUGACAUUAAAAUUCUAGAUCAAAAAUAUUGAUCUUGUUUUAUAUAGUAUAAAGAAUUUUCUAUCAAAAUUUUACAUGAUUUGAAUAUUUCUACACCAUUAAACUUGCAAACGGCUCACUAUAACUAUUAAAAUUAGUUAAUUUUGAGCUCAUUUGAUCACUAGGCAAAUGACAUCGAAAAUCAUGAAAUUUAUUUUCUAGGUAUUAGAUUAAGUUUAACGGAGCCGAUCGACGAUUCGAAAGUCGCAACAUCGAAAACGACCUGGAAGCACGGAAGGCUUCAUACUUCCAGAAGUAUAGUAGCCUCACACAAUACACACACACACACACAUAUAUAUAUAUAUAUAUAUAUAUAUAUAUAUAUAUAUAUAUAUAUAUAUAUAUAUAGACUUUAUUAUAAUAUUAAUAGUUUAGAUAUUAACAAUAGCUACUGACCAUUCCUAGAGCAAGUGGCAAAGGGCUUGCUGGUUGGUACCCGAGACCCAAGUUCGAAUCCUAGUUGAUUCACAUUUCUAGCUAAGUUUAUUUCUAAAUGAAAUAAACGAAGCGGGUAGCGUGCUACCUAUCUCUCUCUAAAAAAAAAAAGAUAUUAACAAUAGCUAGAUGAAUCAACUUUUAGGGCGCGUUUGGUUCGAAGUCGGAGUCGAAAUCGAAAUCGAAAUCAAAAUAAGCUGGAAUUGGAAUCGGAAUGAUUCAUUACCUAAUUCUGUUUAGUUCAUCAUUUGAAUCGAAAUCGGAAUAAAUCAUUCCCAUUAUCGGUGUUUGGUUUAGGUGGAUACAAAAAAACGUAAUCAAAUUAAUAUACUAAUAUUUCUUUAUAAUAUAUUAAUUUAAAUUCAAAUUAAAAAUUAAUUAUUAAAAAAUUACAUCAAAAUUUUGAAAUAAUAUCAAAAUUCUAAAUCUAUUUUUUUAAAAAAAAAAAUUAAACUUUGAAGUUGAGUGGAUAAUUCAAAAUAUGAAAAUUUGAAUAAAUCUUUAUAUAAAUUAAAAUUUAAUUUAAAUUCAAAUUCAUAAGUUAGAUUCGAAAUACUAGAUUAAAUUUUAAUUUUUAAUUUAAAUUCAAAUUAAAAUUUAAAAUUAUAUAUUUAAUUUUAAAAUUUUAACUCAUCUUUUAAUUAAAAAAAGUUGAAAAAAUAAAUUUAAUCCGAAUAAAUAUCCAUUCCGUCCGGAUUCAACUUCCAAUCCGGCCUUCUAGGCCGGAUUGAAAAAAGAUGUGAUUGGAGGAUUCCCAUUCCACUCGAAAAUCGAAAUCGAGAUGGAACAUUCGCGUACCAAACACCCACAAACGAAUUCACCCAUUCUGAUUCCGAUUUCAGGAUGGAAAAGAAACAAACUGGAAAAGAAACAAACCAAACACGCCCUUACAUUGUAUAAGCUGCCUAUUUAUACAGCAAUGACCUUAUGUUUUACUGUUUGUAGAGAUGUCAACGGGUCGGAUUCGGGGCGGGUUUUUAAAAACCCGAACCCGAACCCGACUCCAAACCCGAGACCCAAACCCGAACCCGAACCCGACGGAUUUUAAAAAUUCAUACCCAAACCCGAACCCGACCAAAAAUCCGAAACCCGAACCCGAACCCGACUCCAAACCCGAGACCCAAACCCGAACCCGAACCCGAACCCGACGGAUUUUAAAAAUUCAUACCCAAACCCGAACCCGACCAAAAAUCCGAAACCCGAACCCGAACCCGAACCCGAAAAUUUGAACCCGAAACAAUUAUUUCUUUUUUCAAUAUUUCAAAAUAUAUUAUAUUAAAUUUAAAUUUUUAAAAUACAAAUUCAAAUAUAACAUCAAAUUU